rnacentral:lncRNA from 1 species
GAGCGAGCUUAUGUCAGCUCAAAUUCGGCUUGAAAUUAAUUUGGAGCCUAAAUCUAGACUUAAGCUCAGCUUGAAAUUAAUUCGAGCCGAACUCGAGCGAGCCUAAUUUCAAGUCGAGCCGAGCUCGAGCUCUAAACGAGCCGAUUGAAAUUCUCGACAUUAUAUAAUCAAUAAUUUAAUUUUUAUAGAAUAUUACCUACAAUUUGAUGCAACGUGUCCAAUAGUUCAAAAUACAACAUAAUUAUAAGAAAUAUGAGCUAGGGUGACUUCCUGACUGGAUGAGGGUCUGAGAGAGAGAGAGAGAGAGGAAAAAAAAGUAGGGAUUUAAAAAUUUAAAUGUUAUCAUGUUUUAGGGUUAUGUGUAACAGUGAAAGUCUGAAAGAGAGAGUGUGUUAUGUAAAUUUAGAGUUAGGCUCAAUUGCACGGUUGUACUUAUUGGGUUUAUUUUAUGGGCCAACAAUACUGACCCAAAUUAAAUUAAAGCUUAUAUAUAAUUAAAAUACAUUAUAUAUAUAUAUAUAUAGAGUCCGGCUACUAUACUUUUAUGAGUAUUGGCUCCUUUAUACUCAUAAAUUUUCGACCCUUAGAUUUAUUCCAUUAAUUAUUUUUAUCCGUUAGAUCAUACUAUUUAACCAACUACCCACUCAACCCUAGGGGACCACUAUCAUUCUAAGUGGGGACCACCAUCAUUCUAACCACACAUCCCAUCAAUCAACGGUUAAAAAUUUAUGAGUACAAGGGGGUCUAUACUCAUAAGAGUAUAGUAGCUCCAGUCUAUAUAUAUAUAUAUAUAUAUAUAUUUUCGAGAUUUUCGAGCUUUUCGAGCCUAAUUCGAACGAGCCGAAUAAUACUCAAGCUCGGCUUGAAAUGAAUUUCGAGCCUUUUAUUUUGUUCAAGCUCGGCUCAUUUAAUUUCGAGUCGAGCUCGUGCGAGCCGAAUAUCGAGCCGAACACGAGUCGA